CCUACGGGAGGCUGCAGUGGGGAAUAUUGCACAAUGGGGGAAACCCUGAUGCAGCGACGCCGCGUGAGUGAAGAAGUCAUUCGUUAUGUAAAGCUCUAUCAGCAGGGAAGAAAAUGACGGUACCUGCGUAAGACGCCCCGGCUAACUCCGUGCCAGCCGCCGCGGUACUACGUAGGGGGCAAGCGUUAUCCGGAUUUACUGGGUGUAAAGGGAGCGUAGACGGCAGUGCAAGUCUGGAGUGAAAGGCGGGGGCUCAACCCCCGGACUGCUCUGGAAACUGUACGGCUGGAGUGCAGGAGAGGUAAGUGGAAUUCCUAGUGUAGCGGUGAAAUGCGUAGAUAUUAGGAGGAACACCAGUGGCGAAGGCGGCUGACUGGACUGUAACUGACGUUGAGGCUCGAAAGCGUGGGGAGCAAACAGGAUUAGAUACCCUGGUAGUC
rnacentral:rRNA from 1 species